GACCCUUAAAAGCCACGUGUCGGAAGCGCUUCGCUCUUUUCCUUGGCAGUCACCGGCUGGGUGCGCUCGGAUCUCGCCUGGUAUCUGUGCGUGGGCUGGGACGGAGCCGUGAGAUGCUGGAGCCACUGAAGCAUGAGCCUGGCAUUGCUCACUUGCUUUCCCCGCAGGAUGAGGAGCUGGUGCCCCUGUCCUGGAGAUUGCCUGCUUUCACCCGCGGCGGAGUCCGGCAGGUGAGUGCGAGAUGUUGCUCUACUCAGCCCAUAAGCAGGAGUGACCAUCUGUUGCAGAGAAGGCAGGGCCCGUCUGGAGGCGCCCUUCAGAACCAGAGCAGUUGCUGAGAUCUCUCGCCUGCUGGAUGGAAUGAAGUAGGCACACAGCAGCUAUCCUGCAAGGGAUCUCUCGCUAAAUGGAAGAGGCUGAUGCUGCCAAGGGGAACUAAUGGACUGGCCAGUCCGUCUUACCACCUAGCGGAACGUGAUCAUGUCUCCCAAGGGGCUGGAACUCCGGAAAGACCCAUGGAUGGGCAAAAUCAAAGUGGAACAUAGAGCCAAGAAACUUCAGCUGGGACUGGACUGUUCCCUCCAACUUUCAAUCCCUCUUAAAAGCGACGUUUCUUCUUCCCAAAGAGAACGCUGUCCUGCAUAGAAAAUCUCUGUUCCUCUUCCCUUCUCUCUGUCUGCAAGCUCCACGGGGCAGGGGCCCAUCCCUUCUCUUGCAUAUGAAAAUCACCUAGCACUACUCUCCCAUCAUGGGAAAUUGUUUACAGGUUCAACUGCAUCUGUAGAAAUACACAACACAAGGACUGUCCUUUCCAGAGUUUGCGUUCUUAGUAAAAACUCCCCUGUAUAGGGAAUCUGGAAAUAAAACAUCAGGAAAUAAGUGCAGCAGUCAAAGAAGCUUUUGCCUCAGACUUUUCUGUUCAUACUUUUAGUUGGUAAUUAAAUAAACUGACUGGCCUAUG